UACGAGGGGGGCAAGCGUUGUUCGGAAUUAUUGGGCGUAAAGGGUGCGUAGGCGGCCCUGUAAGUAUGGUGUGAAAUCUCCCGGCUUAACUGGGAGGGUGCGCUAUAGACUGCGGGGCUCGAGUGUGGGAGAGGAAAGUGGAAUUCCUGGUGUAGCGGUGAAAUGCGUAGAUAUCAGGAGGAACACCGGUGGUGUAAACGGCUUUCUGGACCAUAACUGACGCUGAGGCACGAAAGCGUGGGGAGCAAACAGG
rnacentral:rRNA from 1 species